CAGUUCCCUUGCUGGCUUCGACUGAAUGAUUCCCCUGUGAAGUCCCUUGUUUACUGUAUUUGUAAUUAGCCACCAAGAACUUGAGUAACCGGUUUCCGAGGAGAACAUAUAUCCUGAAUCAGUUCCUGGACAUUUGUUUGAGGUCUUGUAAGGGAAACUGAAGGGAAUUGUGUAUUGAACAGGAUGGCUUAGACCUGCUCAACUUCUGAGAAUUGAGGCAUCUUAGGGAAGCAAAUGUUGAAAUGGGAAACCCAACCUCAUAAAUUGUGCUGCAGUUCCACCAAACGGCCGGUCACUCAACACACGUUGAUAAGAAAGUCCCAUGAUGGCACUGAAUGUGCUAGAGUCCCCCUGGAAUUUCAGGUGGUGCAGAGCUUGGGGUGGUGCUCCGCCACGGGGGAGAGAAGGGACCCUGUGUGCCACAGAAUUCUGAGGAGCCAGGACAUAUGGUAGAGGAGAGAGACGCAGCAGGGAAAGAGGACAGAAGUUGAAAACAUCUCUCCUCAUUGGUAAUCACUCAUUUCAGCAGCAUUUUAACCCAAGAACGUGAUCUCCUGAUAUAAACAGGGCAGAGCCAUCUUUGUCAGGUGAUUUGAGGAAUAGUGAGAAUGUGCACCUGGCCUGUUCCAAUAGCCCAUUCUCACUGGUGUUCAAAUGUCACAGCUAGAUCAUCUUGUUAGGCCCCCUUCUUUUUCUAUGUUUUUGAGAG
rnacentral:lncRNA from 10 species